rnacentral:rRNA from 1 species
AGUUCGGUCCCUAUCUACUGCAACCGUAAGAAAUUUGAGAGAUGCUGUCCCUAGUACGAGAGGACCGGGAUGGACAAGCCUCUGGUAGUACCAGUUGUUCCGCCUAGGAGCACGGCUGGAUAGCUACGCUUGGAAAAGGUAACCGCUGAAAGCAUCUAAGUGGGAAACUUGUCUCAAGAUUAGAUUUCUCUCUCCUUGUGAGAAUAAGACCUCCGCGAGACUAGCGGUUUGAUAGGCGUCAUGUGGAAGUAUGGCAACGUAUUGAGCAGAGACGUACUAAUUGGUCGAAUGAGUUUUUCUU